GGAACCCGGCAGGCGGAGGUUGCCGUGAGCUGAGAUCGCGCCAUUGCACUCCAGCCUGGGCAACAAGAGCGAAACUCCGUCUCAAAAAAAAAAAGAAGUUGGCAGGUCCACUUCCAAGGCGGCACACUCGCCCUGUAGCCUCUCCAUGGGACUGCUUGAGUGUCCUCACAUCAUGGCAGCUGGCUUAUCCCACAACAGGUGAUAAUAUAGAAGCCAUAAUGCCUUUCUUUCUUUCCUUUCUUUUCUUUCUUUCUUUCUUUUGACAGAGUCUCGCUGUAUCACCUAGGCUGGAGUGCAAUGGCGCAAUCUCGACUCACUGCAUGAGGGGGACAGUCAACAUUUGAUAAAUGUAUGAAUGAAUUUAUGGAUGAGGGAGGGAUAGCCUUCAAUGGAGGGCAGUGGAGGGCUGUGCUUGUCGGGGUCCUGGAGCAGUUACAGAGGUGCCUGGGGAGUGAAGAUGGCAGAUGGCAUCACUGCCUGAUGGCUGAGAGCCAGAGCAGUGUCGGGUGCUGGUACCCCUCCCAGGUCAGCCUGCAGGUCGGCACGUCAUCUUUCCUGACAGAUUAAUGAGAAG
rnacentral:lncRNA from 1 species